GCAAGCCUGUGAGAGGGAACAAAGGAACAAGAAAAAUUUUGCUUAGAAACUCAGUAGACCAGAAAGAGAAUAGAAAAUUAUCAUGAAAAAAGAGCUUUUCAUGUUGACUAUAGCUGCUGUAAAACUGCUAUCUGGUAUAGGUCAAAUUAGUUAUAAAGAAGUGUGUAGGAAGACACAACUUUUCAGUAAAUUGCAUUAGAAACUAAGCAGGUGGGUAGGUCUGUGUGCUGUUAUGCAAGCUGAUUUAGCUGUCGACUUUGAAAAAGCUUAGAAUGGCUAGACCUUCCAAUUACUUUUUCCCGGGUAAUUCCUUCAUGUUUAUCUGUAUGAAGUCCAAGAAAGGCGCUGCUGGAAUCUCAAAUUUGUAUCGGGCCCAUCAGAAGCACAGAUCAUUAACUGCAUCUGAAGGAAACUGAAGAGAGGUCCUAAUUACUGAAAGCAAGUUAUAGGAAGAUUAAUCUGGCAAUUGUGGGCAGAAGAUUAUGGAAAAGUUUCCAAGAUCACCUGGGAACUCUUAAAUGUAGGUUGAAGCUCCAAUCAAGGUUGUAGCAGUAGAAACUCAAAUAUAUGAGCAACAUUACAAAAGAUACAUCAGAAAACCAUAGUUGGCUGGUGAAUUUGAAAAAGGGGAGAGACAGAAAUAAAAUG